rnacentral:rRNA from 1 species
GCCCUGCUUUUGUGGGGUGUUCGAGUGGCGAACGGGUGAGUAAUACGUGAGUAACCUGCCCUUGACUUUGGGAUAACUUCAGGAAACUGGGGCUAAUACCGGAUAGGAGCUCCUGCUGCAUGGUGGGGGUUGGAAAGUUUCGGCGGUUGGGGAUGGACUCGCGGCUUAUCAGCUUGUUGGUGGGGUAGUGGCUUACCAAGGCUUUGACGGGUAGCCGGCCUGAGAGGGUGACCGGCCACAUUGGGACUGAGAUACGGCCCAGACUCCUACGGGAGGCAGCAGUGGGGAAUAUUGCACAAUGGGCGGAAGCCUGAUGCAGCAACGCCGCGUGCGGGAUGACGGCCUUCGGGUUGUAAACCGCUUUCGCCUGUGACGAAGCGUGAGUGACGGUAAUGGGUAAAGAAGCACCGGCUAACUACGUGCCAGCAGCCGCGGUGAUACGUAGGGUGCGAGCGUUGUCCGGAUUUAUUGGGCGUAAAGGGCUCGUAGGUGGUUGAUCGCGUCGGAAGUGUAAUCUUGGGGCUUAACCCUGAGCGUGCUUUCGAUACGGGUUGACUUGAGGAAGGUAGGGGAGAAUGGAAUUCCUGGUGGAGCGGUGGAAUGCGCAGAUAUCAGGAGGAACACCAGUGGCGAAGGCGGUUCUCUGGGCCUUUCCUGACGCUGAGGAGCGAAAGCGUGGGGAGCGAACAGGCUUAGAUACCCUGGUAGUCCACGCUGUAAACGGUGGGUACUAGGUGUGGGGUCCAUUCCACGGGUUCCGUGCCGUAGCU